CGGACGGGUGAGUAAUGUCUGGGAAACUGCCCGAUGGAGGGGGAUAACUACUGGAAACGGUAGCUAAUACCGCAUAACGUCGCAAGACCAAGGAGGGGGACCUUAGGGCCUCUUGCCAUCGGAUGUGCCCAGAUGGGAUUAGCUAGUAGGUGGGGUAACGGCUCACCUAGGCGACGAUCCCUAGCUGGUCUGAGAGGAUGACCAGCCACACUGGAACUGAGACACGGUCCAG
rnacentral:rRNA from 1 species